GGAGAUAUUCAAGAUAGUUGAUUUAAAGUCCUUAAUAUGACACCCAAUAUGAAAUAUUAAGGCUAGGACCCAACAAACUAUUUUAUAACUUAGAAGAGGUAUGCCGUAAUCCAAGCUAUAAAAUAUUUGAAGGUAGGUGAAUGACGAUUCACCAAUUUCCACCAAGAUAAACGAAAUGUAUUAUUAGGUUUUAAUUGGUUUUGAAACUCCUAGAUCUUUGAGAUUCAUUGAACUUUUCAAAGGCAUGUUUCAAUCUCGAGUGUGCCCUUCAGGUUUUGUGACUGGGAUGCCGAGGAUCACAAAACAAGGUGUGAAGUAACCAUGCAAAUCACUUGGUACCCUUAAUAAAUUACCCCUCAAUCGAUGUGCCGGUUAACCACACACGCUCCAUCGAUACUAUGAUAAAUAUUAAGUCACCCUUUACCUACCUUGUUAAGUCCAAGUUAGUGUGCCGGUUAACCACACACGCUCCACUAACGACUUAGACAAAGUGUAAAGUGUAAUUUCAUGGAUUAGCACCUUAUUCACAUUUUUCCUAAGUAACUAAGAUUGGGUAUUAUUAAGAGUUUAGUUACUUAGUAUUAUCAUUAAUACUUUUAAUGAAGGGAGAAUUCUAGUCCUGUCAAACCCGUUCGGCUAACGACCCUCCACCAGUCAAGCAAGCGGUGGGUGAGAGUGGACACCCAUUAAGUUGCCAUUUUAUAGGCAACAACCUUAUACCCACCUUAUAGACCGGCUUCGUGAAUGAGGCGUACUAGCGGUAAGACUGACUUUACUCUUAUACAUAUAUAUAUUAUUAACUUAUAAUAUUAUAAAGUAUAAGGGUUGAAUUUUAACUUUUAAAAUUCUAAGGGCUAACUUGGAAUUAAAGUAUUCAUAAGUGAAAACUUUUCAAAUUCCAAAACUUGAGGGCAAGUUUUGAAACUAUUCAAAACUAAUUAAUUCCAUAACUUAUGUGUUUAAAGUAGUUUUAAUCCAAAAACUCUUCAAGUUCCAUAACUUGAGGACAAGUUAUGGAAGACUUUAAACUAAUAAAAGAACUAACUUUUUCUUUAUUUUAUAACUUAUGGAUUUAAUUAUGGUUACAUAUUUUUCUUUAAUGAAGUGACUCUUGAACUUCCAUAACUUGAGGACAAGUUAUGGAGUCAAAAAAAAUUAUUCAAUGACACAAGACUCUUCAUUUUGUAACCAUUACCAACUUUUAUGAGUUUUAUGAGUCUUUAAUGUGACUCUUCAUGUAACUUAAGGACAAGUUACACAAACACAUUUUAUACUCAACUCUUAGAUUAAAAUGGAUUGAAAACAACUAUUUCAAUUAACUUUUCUAUUAAUCUAAGCAACUCAUAAGAACAAGAUAAUUCAAAUCAAACUUUUUCAUGUAAUUAGUCUAAACCUUAAACUAAUACAAAACAUGAAUCUAUUGACAAUUAUCUUUGAAAAUGGAUUAGCAUGAACAUUACCACAUAAAAAACAAGUUUAUAAGUUCAAAAACAACUUAGGGUAAUGUUCCUAGUCCAUUUCUAGCCAAAAACCUCGAAAAUAUGUUGUCUGGGGUCCAACUCGUCGAGUGCAUGAACAAAACUCGUCGAGUUGGAUGCAUUUUGCCUUGGACACGUCGAGUCCCUUCAUGGACUCGGCGAGUCUGCUAGGCUGACAGCAUCAAUACUCGAUUUUUCAGCUUCUAUUGCAAGUAUAACAAGAAAACAAGCCUAGGCUCUGAUACCACUGUUGGGUUUUGAGCAUUCUAACACUCCUAAGUGUACAUGCAACCCUAAAUACCUUGGAUCUAUGUUUUCUCUAUUAUACAUGCAAAUAAGAACUUCCAAGGUAUUAUCCUAAUCUAGCAUACAAAACAAUGACUAUAGCAAGAUAGAAUACAUACCUCUUUGAUGUAGAAAGUCUUCAUGAAGCUUGAGUGCCUAGCCCCAAUAGUGUGGAAGCCUCAAAUGGAAUCACAAUCAUCAAAACACUUAGAAUAGCUUGAGAGAGUUCUACACUUCAUGAAAUCGGCUAGCCCUCUCUCGAAUAAUACUAGUGUAUCUAGUGGUGGAUUUUCCUCAAUAAUAAGAUGCUUAUAUAGUUAUACAAUUAGGGUAAACCCUAAUUGUCAUGACUUUCCAUUUCCUUGGAUCCAUGGGUUCAAAUACACCAUGGAGCAUCAUAUGGGUUUUGGCCCAACUAGAUAAUCCAUGGAGCAUUAGCCCACUAUACAAGUAUGGAUGAUUUACACAAUCAACCCAUAUAUUUAAUUAGUCUUCUUUUGAUCACUCAAUUAAUCCUAGAUUAAUUCUUGAUUAAUACUAAUUAAAUAAUCUCAUUAUUCUUAUUAUUAAUAUACUAGAACUUAUAAUAUAUUAAUAACCAUUAGUGUCUUAUUUCUCUCAUGAUAGUCUAUCCAAGUGCAUGAUGGUAUGCAACCCAAAUGGACCAUGCCGGGUCGGGUCAAGUCUUACCAAUUAUAGUUAUGGACUUAGACAUUAAUCCAACAUUAACAUGAUUACAUAUAUGCUAGAAUUAGGGUUUAUAGUCUUGGAUUCAAAGUAUGUACAAUAGAGAAACCUAGAUCCAAGCUUUAGGGUUUGUAUGAGCACAUAGGAUGUCUUAUACCCAAAACCCAUCACUAAUGACCUAUCAUCUUAUGUUGAUUAGACUCAAGUCUCUUAGAAUCUUCCAUAACAGACUUUACAUUCCUUCAUGUUCUAGUCUCAUCUUAAAAGGCAGCAUUUCUAGCUACAAGCUACUACCGCGAUACCUCUAUUGAUCGCUUUGAUUAUCUUUCACUUCAAUCUCUGGCUUAAGUGAGAUGCUACAUCGAACUUGGUUCUCUGAACCACGUAACAUACUCAGCUUAGUCGGACUCGAUUUUAUAUGACCACUAGGGUCGAAAAAACAAUCAUCUUCUUAGUCAUUUCCGAAACAAUGAUAAUGACAUACUUCAAUAGGCCUCUACUACCAUUCACACCUAUUCAUACUCGUCCCAACUAUUGUAUUGUAGUUUUCCAAGUUACUAUCACGAAAACAAUUUUAACACAUAAAAAUGUGUCCAAAUAAUCUUAAAACUUUCCCUAGACUCUACUAGGAUUUCUUCCAUGCAUAUCUUCAAUCAUCAAUUCUGUUUCAACUCGGUUGGUGGUGGAAACGCCACACGAUGAGACAACUUCAGAAAUUACACUGAUCGUUCCAUCAUCCCACCAAUCGAAGGUGUAAUUUAGAUGUACCGUACUCUUUUAAACGUACUGUUAAUGUUAUCAAACAUAUUCUAAAGGCAAGAUACCACUCUUACAAUAUCUUCCGAUAGGUAUCAUUCACUAUCAUAAACCUUUUCAUUUCCUCCAUUUACUCAAUUCUCUACGAGUCUUCAGCAUGAUGUUUGGCACACCAAAGCAGUCGUUUGGUGUGUCAAGACGAGAAUAUAGAUAGAGGAAGUUUUAGACGUGUAUUCCUCCUUAUUACUUCAAAAAAUUACAUGCCAGUUCUAAUAUCAUAAUUAAACGUUUAGAAAUCUGAACACGUCAAAUUUCCAAAUCCGGUCAGCAACAGACCACAGAUCGAAUCAAAUGAUAAUAUAAAAUUGUUAGAUAAGGUGUCUAAGUCCAUAACUAUUUCUAGUAUGUACUUGACCCGAAUCGGCAUGGUCCAUUUGGGUUGCAUGGCACAUUGCAAUUGAAUAGACUAAAUGAGAGAAAUAACACUUGUGGUUUAUUAAUAUAUUAUAAGUUCUAACAUAUUAAAAGUAUUAUUUAAUUAGUUUGAUCAAGAAUUAAUUAAGUGAUCAAAAGAUAACUAAUUAAAUAUAUCAAUUGAGUGUGUAAAUCAUCCAUAACUUGUAUAGUGAGCUAAGAGGCUCCAUGGCUUAUCAAGUUGGGUUAAACCCAUAGAAUGCUCCAUGGAUACUCCAUAGGAGUUACAAACCCAUGGGUCAUGGAAAUGAAGAGUCAUGACACAUUAGGGUUUACAAGGUGUAACCCUAGAUGUGUAACACUAUAUAAGGAGCAUACUAUCCACCAAAAUCGGCUACACAAAAGAGAAGUGAGGGCUAGGCCGAUUUUUAGAGUGUGUGUAUUCUCUCAAAAGUCAUUCCAAAAGCAUUUGGUGCUAUGUGAAGCUUUUGAGGCAUCAAACUUGGGGUGCUAGGCUCUCAAGAAUUCAAGGAAUCAAAAUGAACUACAAGGUAUGUAAUUCUAGCCAUCCUUUUAAGAUAAAAGUUCCCCAUGUAUGCUAGAUAGGAUUAUGAACCUUGGAAACAAAAUUUUGCAUGUAUUUAGACAAACAUACAUCCAAGGUUUAUCAGGGUUGCAUGUACACUUAGGAAGUGUUAGAAUACUCAAAACCCAUCAGUGGUAUCAGAGCCUAGGCUUGUUUGUGAAUACUUGAUGCAAAAUAGUAUUAAAAAUAGAUUUUUUUUUGUCUGCUCUGGGGACUCGACGUGUCCGUGGGGAGGACUCGACGAGUACAAGUGUAAAUGGAACCAACUUGACGAGUCUGUUAGUGCACUCAACGAGUUGGUCAUGCAGAAUGUAGAAAUUCGAUUUGUGCUACUGGAAAACAUUACCGGGAACUGUUUUGGUAUUAUAAAACUUGUUUUAGAUGGUGUAAUGGUUGAUCUAAUCCAUUUACAAUGGCUAAUAUCAACUUUUUAGGAUCAUAUGUGUUCAUAUGUUCUUGAAAUGUUGAUAUGAAUAUUCAUGUUCUUAUGAGUUCUUGAUAGAUCAUAGGAGUUACUUCUUAAUUUAUAUGAUUAAUUCAUGAUCUUUAUGUGUUUUAAUGGAGUCCAUAACUUGUCCUCAAGUUAUGGAUAACCAAAAGUCUCUUUGUGUUUAAAGCCAUUAAAAGAAUGCAUCAGUUAUUAAAUGAAGAGUCUUCAUUUUAACGACUCAUAAGUUAUGAAUGCGAAAGGUUUUGUAAAGUUACAAAACUUGCCCUCAAGUUUUGGAACAUGUGAAGUCAUCUAGUAAACUUUAGUUCCAACCCCUAGAAUUUUAAAAGUUAAAAUUCAACCCUUAUGCUAUAUAAUAUUAUAAGUUAAUAAUAUAUAUAUAUGUAUAAGAUAAAGUCGUCUUACUACUAGUACGCCUCAUUCACGAAGCCGAUCUAUAAGGGGGGUAUAAGGUUGUUGCCUAUAAAAUGGCAUCUUAAUGGGUGUCCACUCUCACCCACUGAUUCCUUGAUCGGUGGAGGGUAGUUAGGCGAACGGGUAGGACAAGGACUUAUAAAUUCUCAUUAAAAAGUAAUAUGAAUAUUAUAAAGUAACUAAAUGAUUUUAUUAAAUUCCCAAUCUUAGUUACUUUAGGAAAAAUGUGAAUAAGGUGCUAAUCCAUGAAAUUACACUUUACACUUUGUUUAUGUUGUUGGUGAAGCGUGUGUGGUUAACCAAAACACUAACUUGGACUUAACAAGGUAGGUAAAGGGUGACUUAAGGUUUAUCAUAGUAUCAAUGGAGCGUAUGCGGUUUACCGACACAUGGAUUAAGUGAUAAACUUUAAGGGUACCAAGUGAUUUGUAUGGUUGAAACAUUCCAUUGAAAAGUUCAAUGAAUCUCAAAGAAUCUAGGAAUUUCUAAUAACCAAUUAAAAACCUAAUAAUUAUAUUUCGUUUUUAAUGGUGGAAAUUGGUGAAUUGUCAUUCACCUAGCUUUCAAAUAUGUUAUAGCUUAGAUUGCGGCAUACCUCUUCUAAGUUAUAACAUAUUGUGACUGGAUCCUAGCCUUAAUAAUACAUUUGGGUGUUUUAUUCAGUACUCUCUUAAUAUCUAAACAAAUCUUGUCCUCUUCUUUCAGAUGUCUUCAAAUAAUAUUGUUUCUGGCUCUGAUCCUAAUGGCUCCUUACCCAUAUGAACUUGUGUGGGUUAGUCACUUUUGAUGGAUCCAACUUCAAUGAAUGGAUCAGAAACAUGAGGAUGAUUACCUGCUACGAGAACAGAGAAUAUGUCCUCGAUAAGGAGCUUAAGGAAAUUGAUGAGACCACUGCAGCUCCCCAAGAGAUUGCUGACUUCCAGGCACAUGAAAGGGAUGCUACAAAAGUGGAAUGCAUCAUGUUGGCCACCAUGACAUUGGAACUCCAAAAGUACUAUGAGGACAUCUACCCUUUUGAAAUGCACCAAGAUUUGAUGGAAAGAUACCAUCAAAGUGCACAAGAGAGGUAUGAAAUCAUUUGCUCCAUGAUAACAAGCAUGAUCAAGGACGGAGAGUCCAUCACGAGCCACAUGCAGAAAAUGUAAAGGUAUGUGGAUCGGAUGUUGAAGCUUAAUGUGAACUUCCCUAAGGAGCUUGCAAUAGAUAUCAUUUUGCACUCCUUACCAUCGUGCUAUGUGCACAUACAAAACCCUAAUAAACAUGUCUUAAGGGUAAGUCGGUUGUUGACACUCCUACUCCAAACUCCGCCCCGGUUUUGGCAAUCAGGAAAGGUCGAGGGAAGAAGAGAAACAACUCUUCGAAGGGUACCAAGGCUAGGACCCUUGAUGGCUCUUCUUCAAGUGGAACCAAGAAACGUUUUGUCACUCCUUGUUCUGACCCAAAAGAGGUUGAAUGCUUCUAUUGCCAUGAAAAGUCACAUUGGAAGCGGAACUGCCCAAAAUACUAGCAAGAUUUGAAGGAUGGGAAAGUUAAACUCAACCAUGCAGGUAUUUACACUAUCAUAUCUAAUAACUCACCCAUUCUAACUCUUGGGUCCUUGAUACCGGUUGUGGUAUUCAUAUGUGUUCUGAUUUGUAGGGACUAAGAAGAAGUCAGAAUAUGGAGCAUGGAAGAAUAAACUUAAUCAUGGGGAAUAGGAAAGCUUUACCUGUCACCAAGAUUGGAGUUUAUAAUUUAUCGCUAAGUAGUGGGUUUAAUUUAGAUUUGAAUAAAUGUUGUUAUUUGACAGAAAUGGCAAGAAAUAUUAUUUCCUUUCAUGCAUUGUAUAAACAAGGUUUCACCUUUUCAUUUGAUAAUGAAGUUGGUUUGAUUAAUUCUUUCUUUAAUAAUGUUCUUUAUUUUAAAGCAUUACCUUUUGAUGGGUUUUAGCCAUAUGAACAUUCCUAUGUGCACAUACAAAACCCUAAUGCUUGGAUCUAGGUUUCUCUAAUUGAACAUACAUUGAAUCCAAGACUUCUAAUGGCUAAUAGAGUAUAAUAACAAUAUAAAAUUAGAAUUAGAAGUUUACCUUGAAUCUCUUGCUUGAUCUUCUUGUCCUUGGAGCUUUUGAGUCCCAAUUGUCACUCCUCUAAUGGCUUACAAACACCAACUAGCAAGAUGAUUAUUUAAGAGAGAGGAGAGGGGAUCAAAUCGGCCAGGGUUUCUUUCUAAAGCACAAGUGUCGAUUUCUCUUCACCCCUAGUGUCUAUUUAUACUAGUUAGGCUCCUAGGGUUUCACCCUUAAACCCUAAUUGGAUAACUUAGGCCCUAAGCAAUCCAAUACCCUAAUUGAUAAGCCUUUGGAUGAUUUCAAGGCCUAUACAAAGUCCUUAAAACCAGCCACCCUUUAUCCAUCAGGGAUUUAUAGCCCAAAGUAUAACUAUCAUAUAUUUGACAGUUUAUGCCCCUUUGUUCAAUUAAUCACUUUAAGUCACCAAAUUAAUUCCUAAUUAAUUUAUGACUUAUAUUAAUCAAAUAACAAUACUAUUAUUCCUUAUAUUAUUCUUGUAAUAUAUUAAUAAUAUUCCUUCUCUCAUUAUAAAUCAUCCUGUCAAGUUACUAUGGUGAAGGCAACCCAAACCGACCAUGCACAACUGGGUCAAAUACUUGCCAAAUAUAGUUGCAUCCUUAGACACUAUUCCAACAAUCUCCCACUUGGAUAUGUCUAGUAACUAUAUAUACAAGUAUAUUCCGAUUAUCAAUCGUAGCUGUCAAAGACGCUGUCAAACUUUGAUCUAAUCAAUCUUGUCCUUUGGAUAAGGGAUCGUACAACCUCUAUUUAGAUAUCAUGCUGACAUUUCUAUGGAACCAAUUCUCUAGCAUUUGGUUUCUCAAUCUACGAUUUAUCUGACAUAGAACUUAAUCGAACACAUCAAUUAAGUUCUGACCGAGCCCAACACAUAAGUCAAAUCAAAUCAUCGAGCGGACGAGAUAUCGCUUUUAACCUCUUAGGAUAAAAGUAAUAAAUAAACUUUGACUUAUAUGCAUUUACUUAUUCAUUAAUCAAUCAUACACAACAAUGUGUUUUAUGACAUCAAGUUACUGAUGCGGUUUCGCAUUAUCAAUGUAUAACCAAUUAACAAAUAACAAACCAUAUAUCUAGGUUUUAAGACCAUAUGAUAUUAUCGUCUUGCGAUCACCCCUUUUAUCAUAUUCCAUAAGGUGAUUCCAGCAAGCGCGGGUUUGUUCCAAUGCUCAAUACUAGUUCAUAAGCACUCAUGAAUGCUGUAGCAACCUUUUGCCAUGUCUAAUACCAUUUAAAUAAUCUACAUACCAAUUCAUGAUAAUCCUUAUUCAUACCUACUUCCAAAAUAUGAAUGAUUGUGGACUAUUUGAAUAAUUCGAUUAUUCUUAAUAAACUCAAUUAUUCUAGAAGUCAAAACAUGCAAAAAUGAAACAAUAGUUAAAUGAUUCACAUAAGACAGUAACAUUACUCAGUAAUAAUACUCUUUUAUUUAAUCAUCAAAUGUUAAUUACAUUUAUCUAUUACACGUUUCCAAUACUAUCUAAUCUAUACUAAUAUCAUCCUUCAGGCCAAUACUCCUAGCAUGCUACAAGUGCUUAACCUUACUCAGUCCCUUUGUAAGCGGAUCUGCUGGGUUAUCUUCUGAUGAUAUCCUCUUCACCACGAGUUGUCCUUCUUCUACACGAUGUCUAAUAAAGUGAUAUUUUCUGUCAAUAUGUCAUGAUCUACCAUGAUCCCUCGAUUCCUUGGUCAAGGCAACCGCUCCUUCAUUAUCACAGAAAAUCUCCAUGGGCUCCUUUAUGGUAGGUACAACUCCAAGAUCACCGAUGAAGUUCUUCAACCAUAUUGCCUCCUUCGACGCUUCGCUCGCUGCAAUGUACUCUGAUUUGCAUGUUGAAUCAACUAGGGUUUCCUGCUUGGAACUCUUCCAAGUCAUUGCUCCUCCAUUAAGGGUAAAGACCCAGCCCGACUGCGAACGGUAGUUGUCCCUAUUGGUUUGAAAACUGGCGUCACUAUACCCUUGCACCUUCAAUUCAUCACUCCCUCCUAGAACUAAGAACCAUUCCUUCAUCCUCCGAAGGUACUUAAGGAUAUUCUUAACUGCAAUCCAAUGAGCUCUGCCAGGGUUCCCCUGAUAUCUACUAACCAUGCUCAAAGCAAAGGCUACAUCAGGGCGAGUACAAUUCAUAGCAUACAUGAUUGAGCCAACUGCGGAAGCGUAUGGUACUCAGCUCAUUUCUACUAUUUCAGCUUCAGUACUCGAACUUUGAGUCUUACCCAACUUGGCAUUACUUUGUAUCAGUAAUUCUCCCUUCUUCGAGUUUUCCAUACUAAAACGUUUUAGUACUUUAUCUAAGUAAGUAUUCUGACUAAGUCCUAUUAGUCUCUUACUUCGCUCUUUCACUAUCCUUAUUCCCAAAAUAUAGGAAGCCUCUCCGAGGUCCUUCAUAGAGAAGCACUUCCCGAGCCAGGACUUAACUUCCUGCAGAGUCGGGAUGUCGUUUCCUAUGAGCAGUAUGUCAUCGACAUACAAAACGAGAAAGCUAACUAUGCUCCCACUGGCUUUGACACAUACACAUGAUUCAUCUUCGCUUUGUACAAAUCCAAACUCUUUGACUUUCUCAUCGAAGCAAAGAUUCCAUCUGCGAGAUGCUUGCUUAAGUUCAUAAAUGGACUUCUCAUGCUUACACACUCUAUUCGGAUGCUUCAGAUCAACAAAACCCUCUGGCUGAGCCAUGUAAACAUCCUCAGCCAACUUCCCGUUAAGGAAAGCGGUUUUGACAUCCAUUUGCCAAAUCUCAUAAUCAUGAAAUGUGGCAAUUUCUAGCAUCACUCUAAUAGAUUUUAUCUUCGCAACUAGUGAGAAGGUCUCAUCAUAGUGAACUCCGAGAGUUUGAGUAAUGCCCUUCGCAACCAAUCGCGCCUUAUAUGCGUGUACAUUUCCAUCCACGUCGGUCUUCUUCUUGAAGAUCCAUUUGCACCCAACGGUCUUACGUCAGGGCACAUUAUCAACCAAAUUCCAAACUUGGUUGUUAUACAUGGACUGGAUCUCGCUGUCCAUUUCCUCAUUCCAUUUUGCAGACUCGGGGCCUGCCAUGGCUUCCUUAAAGCUAUUAGGUUCAUCUAGAUUUAUUAGUGUACCAUCACUAAUAUACGUGUCCCCUUCGGUAGUAAUAUGAAAACCAUAAAACUGGGGUUGAACUCUAACUCUAUCGGAACGUCUAAGAGGUAAGGACUCGUCAAUCGGUUCAACCGGAGUUUCCUCCUCGGGUUGAGUGCCAGCGGUAGAGGUUCCUUCAUCUAUCGACUCUUGAAUCUCUUCAAGCUCGAUUUGCCUCCCACUGUCUCCUUGGCUUAUGAGUUCUCGCUCUCGGAAAACUCCUCUCCUCGCAACAAAGACAACAUUGUCCUUCGGUCUAUAGAAGAGAUAUCCAAAGGAUUUCUGCGGGUAGCCGAUGAAAAUACAUCGCUCACUACGAGGUUCGAGCUUGUCGUGAGUAUCUCGUCUUACGAAAGCCUCGCAACCCCAAACCUUGAUAUGUGCUAACGAGGGAGCUUUCCCUGUCCACAUCUCGUGAGGUGUUUUGGCAACCUUCUUAGUAGGGACUCGGUUAAGGAUAUGGGCGGCAGUCUCUAAGGCAUACCCCCAAAAAGAGAUAGAUAGUGAAGCACGACUCAUCAUAGAGCGAACCAUGUCUAACAAGGUUCGAUUAUGCCUUUCUGCCACACCAUUCAAUUGUGGUGUCCUAGGUGGCGUCAAUUGUGAAACUAUUCCACACUCCUUGAGAUAGUCGUGGAAUUCAAGACUUAGGUACUCUCUUUCUCGAUCGGACCGAAGAAUCUUGAUUUUCCUGCCCAAUUGAUUCUCCACUUCAUUCUUGAACUCUUUGAACUUUUCAAACGUUUCUGACUUUUUCUUGAUUAAGUAGAUAUACCCAUAUUUACUAUAGUCAUCUCUAAAAGUCAUAUAGAAGCGGUUCCCAUCCUUUUUGGUUGAUCUAAACGGUCCACAUACAUCAGUAUGUAUGAGGUCCAAUAGACCCUCACCCCUUUCACAUGUACUAGUGAAGGGUGACUUGGUCAUCUUUCCAAGUAAACAAGACUCGCAUGUGUCAUCUUCCCUAAGGUCGAAUGACUCCAACACUCCAUCCUUUUGGAGUUGGGCUAUGCGCUUCUUGUUGACAUGUCCAAGACGACAAUGCCACAAGGAUGCUCUAUCCAUACCAUUGGAAGAAUCCAUGCAUAAAACAUCAUUUCCUAAGUUAUCUACAAUCAUAACAGUUUCAUAAAUUCCAUUACACGGUAUUGCUUCAAAAUAUAAGACACCAUUUAGAUAAGCAAAAAUAGAACCAUUCUCAUUAUUAAAAGAAAAUCUAAAACCUUGUCUAAACAAACCAUGAAAUGAAAUGAUGUUUCUUGCCAUUUCUGGCGAAUAGCAACAAUUGUUCAAAUCUAAACAUAAACCAUUCCUAAGCACUAAAGAAUACACUCCAAUCUUGGUCACAGGCGACGAUCUUCUGUUCCCCAUGAUUAGAUUUAUUCUUCCAUGCUCCACAUCCCUAUUUCUUCUUAGUCCCUGCAAUUCAGAACAUAUAUGGUAACCACAACCGGUAUCAAGGACCCAAGAAAUAGCAUGAGAUGAAUCGUUAGAUUUAAUUGUAUAAAUACCUGCGAAAGACGGCUUGAUCUUUCCUUCCCUUAUAGCUUGCAGGUACUCUGAGCAGCUUCUCUUCCAAUGCCCUAUAUUGUGGCAGUGGUGGCACUCUGCCUCCUUUGGGUUAGGAUUAGGCUUAGCGGGAUCAACUUUGGCCCCACUAGAAUAGGAACCGUCUCUGGACUUUCCCUUGUGGUGGCUCUUAGAAGGAGCCUUCCUCUUCUUGCCUCUUCCUUGCCUAAUGGCCAAAACAGGAGCAGUAGGUGGAUUAGGAGUGGGUGCAACAGACUUGUCCUUGAGGUUGCUUUCAGCAACCCUAAGGAGACCUUGGAGCUUUCUUAGGGUGACCUCUUCUUUGUUCAUGUGGUAGGUCAUCCUAAAUUGAUUGUAACACGGAGGCAAAGAGUGAAGCACCAUGUCGAUCGCCAAGUCUUCCCCAAAGUCAACAUUCAACUUGUGAAGACGAUCGACAUACCUUUGCAUCUUUUGCAAGUGCACGGUAAGAGAUUCUCCAUGACCCAUUUUGGUGGAAAUCAUGUUAGUGAAAAUCUCGUAACGCUCUUGCCUCGCGUUUUGGUGGUAUGUCUCCAACAAGUCUUGGUGCAUUUCGUAUGGAUACAUGUCCUCAUACGACUUUUGGAAUUCGGCAUUCAUGGUGGCUAUCAUGAUGCAAUGUACCUUAUUGCAUCACGCUCGUGAGUUUCAAAAGCAGCCAUUUCAGCCGGAGUAGCGAUUUCAGGGUUGUUCUUCUCGAGCUUCUCAUCGAGGACAUACUCCUUGUCCUCAUAGCGAGCAAUUAUGCGAAAGUAUCUUAUCCAUUCACUAAAGUUCAUCCCAUCGAAAGUCACCUUUUGACAAAGGCUCAUCAAUGUGAACGAGCUAGCAGCAGCGUUGUUCAUGUUCGACAUCUACAAAUAGAAAGGAAAAAGAUAGAUUACAAUAUGAAUCCCUAAUUAUUACCUGAUAAGAAAAUUAGGGCUAGGAUCCAACAACAAUAUUUACAUAUUAGAAAAGGUUUACCGUAAUCUAACAUGCAAACAUUUUGAAGGUAAGUAAAUGACAAUUCAGUAAUUCUCCACCAUAAAACAUAACUUUAAGUCUAAAUGUAUUGAGAAUUCCUAGGUUUACAUAAGAUUCAUUGAAACUUUUCAAUGGCAUGUUUAAAUCUCGAUAUGCCCCUGUCGUUUGUGACUGGGAUACCGAGGAUCACAAAGUGGGUGUGAAUUACCAUGCAAAUUCACAUGGUGCCUUCAUUGUAACAAUCACCUAUUCGACGUCCUGGUAAACCACACACGCUCCAUCGAACUAUGAUAAACAAUGAAUCACCCUUUUCCACCUUUGCUUAGAACCAAUUAGUGUGCCGAUAAACCACACACACUCCACUAACUUCUUAGCAAGGGUGCAAACUGUAAUUUCAUGGGAUUGCAUCAAUUCAGUUUUCCUAAAGUAAAAAGGAUUGGGAAUUUUUGAAAAACAUGUAGUUACUUUAUAGGUUCAUUAUACUUAUUAAUGAGGAGAGAGAGUUUCCCUAUCCUACUCGUUCAGCUAACGACCCUCCACCGAUCAAGCAAGCGGUGGGUGAGAGUGUUCACCCAUUAAGCGUCAUUUUAUAGGCAGCAACCUUAUACCGACCUUAUAGACCGACUUCGUGAAUGAGGCCUACUAACGGUAAGACUAGCAUUUUAAUUAUCCAUAUAUACAUAUUAAUCUUGUAAUAGUAUAUUAGUAUAGGGUUGAAUUUUAAACUUGUAAAAUUCUAGGGUUUGAAAUUUAAAUUGUCUAAAUUAAACUUUUAAUCACAAAACAUAAAUUUCAAAACUUGAGGGCAAGUUUUCAACAUUUUAAAACAUAAGGGAUCAAAUAACCAAUAAUCUAAAUUAACAUUUAAUCACAUAAUUAUCCAUAUUUUAUUUAUUUAAUGAUUUCUUGCAAAACAAUUUACCAGUUUAAUUAAAAUAAUUAAUCAAUUAUAACAUAAGGAAAUAAAUAUUUUAUUAAUUAUAAAUAUCUUCAAUUAGGUCAAGAAUAUACUCAUAUAUAUCAUAAAAUCGGAUUUAUAUUGAUCUAAUAUGAUAAAGGCAAGUAUCUCAAGGAUAAACAACAAGAAAUCCCGAAGUUAUCUCUUUCUGACGCUUGAACUCGCCAAGUACCCCGAUGGACUCGCCGACUUUCGCCUACUCGCCGAGUACCACCACGGGACUCGCCGAGUUCAUCAGGCAGAGGACAAAAAAAGAUUUUUGCAAGCAACAAACAAGUAAUAAAUGUUUCAAUUCAAUAGAAACCAAUCUAGGCUUUGAUACCUCUGAUGGGUUUUAGCCAUAUGAACAUUCCUAUGUGCACAUACAAAACCCUAAUGCUUGUAUCUAGGUUUCUCUAAUUGAACAUACAUUGAAUCCAAGACUUCUAAUGGCUAAUAGAGUAUAAUAGCAAUAUAAAAUAAGAAUUAGAAGUUUACCUUGAAUCUCUUGCUUGAUCUUCUUGUCCUUGGAGCUUUAGAGUCACAAUUGUCACUCCUCUAAUGGCUUACAAACACCAACUAGCAAGAGGAUGAUUUAAGAGAGAGGAGAGGGGAUCAAAUCGGCCACGAUUUCUUUCUAAUGCACAAGUGUCGAUUUCUCUUGAACCCUAGGGUCUAUUUAUACUAGUUAGGCUCCUAGGGUUUCACCCUUAAACCCUAAUUGGAUAACUUAGUCCCUAGGCAAUCCAAUACCCUAAUUGAUAAGCCUUUGGACGAUUUCAAGGCCUAUCCAAAAUCCUUAAAACCAGCCACCCUUUAUCCAUAAGGGAUUUAUAGCCCAAAGUAUAACUAUCAUACAUUUGACAGUUUAUGCCCCUUUAUUCAAUUAAUCUCUUUAAGUCACCAAAUUAAUUCCUUAUUAAUUUAUUACUUUUAUUAAUCAAAUAACAAUAUUAUUAUUCUUAUAUUAUAUUAAUAAUAUUCCUUCUCUCAUUAUAAAUCAUCCUGUCAAGUUGCUAUGGUGAAGGCAACCCAAAAGGACCAUGCACAACCGAGUCAAAUACUUGCCAAAUAUAGUUGCAGCCUUAGACACUAUUCCAAAAGGUGUGUAUGAAACUGUAUCUGUGGUUGAUAACUUAGGAAAUAAUGUUUUUUGUAUUGAUUUUGUUAAUGAUAAUAACUUGGAUAAAGCGUCAUUAUGGCAUUGUCGUCUUGGACAUAUAAGCAAGAAACGCAUAGGCCAACUCCAAAAGGAUGGAGUCUUGGAGAGGGGUAAAGGUUUGUUGGAUCUCGUACACACGGAUGUGUAUGGACCCUUCAAACAUGCCACAAGGGAUGCUAAUCGUUAUUAUUUGACUUUUACUGUUGAUUAGAGUAGAUAUGGAUAUGUCUACUUAAUCAAGCAUAAGCCAGAGACUUUAGAAAGGUUUAAAGAUUUUAAACAGGAAGUCAAGAAUCAAUUGGACAGGAACAUUAAAAUGCUUCGAUCCGAUCAAGGUGGUGAGUAUCUUAGUUCAGAGUUCCUCGACUAUCAUAGGGAAUGUGGGAUUGUCUCACAAUUGACAUCUCCCAGGACACCGCAGUUGAAUGGUGUGGCUGAGUGGCGUAAUCGAACCUUGUUGAACAUGGUUCGUUCCAUGAUGAGUUAAGCUUCGCUACCAAUCUCAUUUUAGGGGUAUGCCUUAGAUACUUCUGCCGAUAUCAUUAAUUUGGUCCUUACAAAGAAAGUUGCCAAAACUCCUCAUGAGAUGUGGACUGGUAAAGUACCCAUACUAGACCACAUCAAGAUUUGGGGUUGCGAGGCUUUCGUGAUAUGCGACACUCAUGAUAAGCUCGAACCCUAUAGCGAGAGGUGUAUUUUCAUCGGUUACCCACAACAAUCCUUUGGUUACCUCUUCUAUAGACUUAGUGAAAAUGUGGUCUUUGUAGCAAGGAGGGCUAUCUUUCGAGAGAGAGAGAGAGUUCAUAAGCCAAGGAAACAGUGGGAGGCAAGUUGACCUUGAAGAAAUUCAAGAGUCAAGUGGUGAAGGAACUUCAAACCAUAGCACUCAACUUAAGGAGGAAACUCCUGUUGAGCCAAUUGACAUGUAUGUACCUAUGAGGCGUUCCACUCGAUUUAGGAAUGCACAUGAGCAUUACUAUGGAUUCCAUAUUAUUGUGGAAGGUGAUACACUUAUCAGUGGUGAGACACUGAUAGGUCUGGAUGAACCUAACAGUUACGUGGAAGCCAUGGUAGGCCCUAAGUCAGCCAAAUGGAAAGAUGAAAUGGACAGCGAGAUACAGUCCAUGUAUGACAAUCAAGUUUGGAACUUGGUUGAGAAUGUGCCAGUUCGUAAGACUAUAGGGUGCAAAUGGAUCUUCAAGAAGAAGACCGACAUGGAUGGUAAUGUACACACUUAUAAGGCACAACUAGUUGCAAAGGGUUUCUCGCAAACUCUGGGAGUUGUUUAUGAUGAGACCUUUUCUCCAGUGGCUAAGAUUAAGUCUAUUAGGGUUUUGUCAAUACAGAGUAGCCUAAUAGAGUGUUUAAGCUUGAGAAAUCCAUUUAUGGAUUAAAGCAAGCACCUUGCAGAUGGAGUCUUUUCUUUGGUGAGAAAGUCAAAGAGUUUGGCUUUUAUAGGAGUGAAGAUGAAUCUUGUGUGUAUGUAAAGGCUAGUGGGAGUAUAGUUAGCUUUUUGGUAUUGUAUGUGGAUGACAUACUACUCAUAGGAAAUGACAUCCCAACUCUGCAGGAAGUUAAUUCCUGGCAUGGGAAAUGUUUCUCUAUGAAAGACCUAGGAGAAGCUACCUAUAUUCUAGGGAUAAGGAUCAUAAGAGACAGGAGUAAAAGACUAAUUGGACUUAGUUAGAGUACCUACUUGGAUAAGGUGCUAAAGAGAUUCGGCAUGCAGGACUCCAAGAAAGGAGAUUUACCCAUCCAGAGUAACGUCAGAUUGAGUAAGACACAAAGCCCUAGUACUGAGGCUGAGAUAGCAUAAAUGAGUCGAAUACCUUAUGCUUCAGCUAUAGGAUCGAUCAUGUAUGCCAUGACGUGUACUCGACCUGAUGUAGCCUUUGACUUGAGCAUGGUUAGCAGGUAUCAAGGGAACCCUGGCAAGGCACACUGGACUGCGGUAAAGAAUAUCCUCAUGUACCUACGGAGGACUAAGGACAGGGUCCUUACCCUCGGUGGGAGUGAUGACUUGAGAGUUGUAGGGUAUAGUGAUGCUAGCUUUCAGACUGAUAGGGACAAUUUCCGCUCUCAGUCAGGCUGGGUCUUUACCUUAAACAGAGGAGCAAUCUCUUGGAAGAGUUCCAAGCAAGAGACAGUGGUUGAUUCAACUUGCGAAUCAGAGUAUACAGCAGCGAGCGAGGUAGCAACGGAGGUGAUAUGGCUGAAGAACUUCAUUGGAGACCUUGGAGUUGUACCAGUUAUUAAGGAGCCAAUGGAAAUUUUCAGUGAUAGUGAAAGUGUAGUUUCCUUAGCCAAGGAACCAAGGGAACAUGGGAGAUCCAGACACAUCAACAGAAAAUACCAUUUCAACAAACAUCGAAUAGAAGAAGGACUCCUCGCGGCAAAUAGGGUAUCAUCAAAUGAGAAUCCAGCAGAUCCCCUCGCGAAGGGACUGACUCAGGCUAAGCAUUUCUAGCAUGCUCGGAGCAUAGGGCUGAAGGAUGAUAUUAGAUUUAGUAGUUAGAUAACCUCGAAAUUUGUAAAGUAUCUUUGACAUUAGAUGAUAAAUAAAAAGUGUUUUAUUUAUGAGUAAAGUGUUGCUAUCUUUUGUCGAUCAUUUACUAUAUUUCAUUUACAUGUUUUGACUUCCAGAAUAAUUAUUUUUGGUAUAUCAUGUUAUUCGAACCUCCGCAGUCAGUGAUAUCUCGGAAGUAGGUAUGAAUCAAGACUAUCAUGAUUGGUUGCUGAGGUCUAAGGUGUUGGACAUGGCUACAACAAUCAUGAGUGCUCAUAAGUUCUGAGAAUUGGACUCAACCCACACUCACUAGAAUCAGUUGUUGGAAUUUAUCUCGAGUGAUCAUGAGAUGGUAAUAUAAUAUAAGUCUUCAAACCUAGAGAUAUGAUUUGUUACUUAUGAGUUGCUUAUGCAUUGAUUGUACGUAAACACAAUGGGAACUCGAUGUUAUAAAACUUGCUUUUGUGUAUAAUUCAAUGAGUGGUAGAACAAAAUACUAGUCGAAGUUUUUCUGUUCCUUCUUGGAUUAGAAGCUGAUAUAUGGGCCCCUCGAUGAUUUUGUUUUGACCCGUGUAUCGGGCCCGGUCAGAACUAAGUUGAUGUGUUCAAUUAAGUUCUUUGUCAAACAAAUCGGAAAUCGGGAAACAAACUGCUGGAAAAUAAGUAAGACAUUGUUCCAUGUAUUGUCUGGCUAAUAUCUAGAGCAGAUGAUGAUACGAUCACUUAUCUUAAAUAGCGUAUCAUCAUCUUCACAAUUCCGAGAAACCUUGAAAGAGCUACGAUUGCUGAUCGGUUCCUGAAAUCAUACUUGCAUUUAUAUUUAUUAGACUUAUCCAAGUGGGAGACUGUUGGAUAAGGUGUGUAAGUCUAUAACUAUUUCUGAUAUGUACUUGACCCGACUCAGCAUGGUCCAUUUAGGUUGCAUGGCACCAUGCAAUUGGAUAGACUAAAUGUGAGAAAUAACACUUGUGGUUUAUUAAUAUAUUAUAAGUUCUAAUAUAUUAAAAGUAUUAUUUAAUUAGUAUGAUCAAGAAUUAAUUUAGAAUUAAUUAAGUGAUCAAAACAUAACUAAUUAAAUAUAUGGAUUGAUUGUGCAAAUCAUCCAUAACUUGUAUAGUGGGCUAAGAGGCUCCAUUGAUUAUCCAGUUGGGUUAAACCCGUAGGAUGCUCCAUGGAUGCUACAUGGGAGUUACAAACCCAUGGGUCAUGGAAAUGAAGAGUCAUGACACAUUAGCGUUUAGAUGGUGUAACCCUAACAUACUAUCCACCAAAAUCGGAUACACAAAAGAGAAGUGAGGGCUAGGCUGAUUUUUAGAGUCUCUGUAUUCUCUCAAAAGUCAUUCCAAAAGCAUUUGGUGGUGUGUGAAGCAUUUGAGUCAUUACACUUGGGGUGCUAGGCUCUCAAGAUUUCAAGGAAUCAAAAUCAACUACAAGGUAUGUAAUUCUAGCCAUCCUUUUAAGAUAAAAGUUCCCUAUGUAUGCUAGAUAGGAUUAUGAACCAUGGAAACCAAAUUUUGCAUAUAUUUAGACAAACAUAGAUCCAAGGUUCAUUAGGGUUGCAUGUACACUUAGGAUGUGUUAGAAUGCUCAAAACCCAUCAAAAACAUCAUAAAUCAUUUAGCCCAUAAAACCCUUUUAGAAAUCUUCCCUAAUUAAGUUAGUGCUUGUGUCUAUUCAAGUGUACUUCCUAAAAUAUAUUAGACACACUCCUCAUGAUCAUCGCUUAGCAUUCUAAGUUUAAAUCUAGAAAUAAAUCCUUAUUCCUAGUUCGCUUAAACUAAUGCUCUGAUACCAACUGUGACAUCCCCAUUUUCACGUCCAGAAAAGACCGAUUUUUGUUUAUGCUUUGUUUGAAAAUCAGAGUAACAUUUUAAAUAAAAGUGUUGCAGAAUUUGUUCCCAGAAAAACAUGAUAAAUACGUUGUCAAAGAAUUUUCGAAGAAAUGUACUUUUAUUCAUCUUAAAACAUUUGGGAUGUCAUCGUGAAUACAGAAACAUAAGCAUAAACAUAACUUAAACUCAUUAUCACUAGUGAUUUAUAUCUCCUUAAUCCAUCAGCAUAAUGUAACCUCACAUCAACACGUGUGAUACCAAUAAACUGAGUGGGUCAGGUUGGGAAACAUGGUAAGUACAUUGGGUUUUCAACCCACAAUAAUAUAAUUAUUAUGUUAAACAUCAAACAAUCAACCCAAAUACCCAUCCCCAUUAUCUUCUUUACUCUUAAGGAUCUACCCUAAAAAUUAGCUAUUCCUCGUUCAUUCAUUCCUAUGGAUCAUCCUAAGGAAUGCACACGAAAUCCAUCGUUACCAGGCUUUACGCAACAGGCACUAAGUCGCAUAGUCGCCAAGGUUUAUACAAUAGGGUACAUCUGGUGAACACGCAGUUCAAAACAUAUGGUGAACACUUAGUUCAAAACAUAUCGUGAACACUUAGUUCAAAAAUACCUAGUGAAUACGUAGUUCAAAAACACCUACAAGUUAGGAGCUUGCUAGUGUUCCACUAGACUGUCUAGAAUAGUCCAUGGUCGUUAUCUCUAGUCCGUUCGAUGGCCAAAUCAUCUCAAACAUCGAGGCUUCUCAUUAUUUUAUUUGAUCACAUAGCAACUAUUACAUCUACCCAUGUUUUACCCAGCACAUUUUGUAGAUAUAAAAUACAUAUACAGUUGAAAUUAUUUAAAACAUGUAUAAAAAUCUUUCACCCAACAUAAACAACAAGUAUUCAAAUAUUAUGCACACAUAGCACGUAAUUUAUAUUAAAUACUUCAUAUAUAUGUGUAAGAUGAAAGUAAUUAUGCACUCACCUGAUUAGGUGAUGACUCUGCACCUGGACAGCACUUCAUUACUCUUAAAACAAUUUCCUUCGACAAAACCUAGUAUCAUUACCACUAGGGUUUAUUCUAAUAUUCAUUGCGACCAUUUUGGCAUAUAGCACUUCUGAAAUCCAACAACCCUAUGCGACCCUUUAAACCAGAUUCCCCAUACCACAAGUGGCUAAAAAGAUAUUAUAACGACACUUAUAUAACCCAUAAUAAUAGCUCAAAUAUUUAUUAUAAGGUCCUAAUAACAUUAAUAUAUUGAAACAUAUGCUAUACUAAUGAUAGGAUAGGCGUAGCUCAUUUACAACGGGUUUUCUCAAUACCGGGCUUCGCUGGAGCAGCGUUUCCGAGCCGAAAGGCUCUUCUUCUCGGAGCCUUCGGGCACCUUGGGGCUUCUGCCUCAUGCUAGGGAGGUUCCCUAUGCUUUUAGGGGGGUUUCGGUGAUAGAGAUAGGUUGUAGAGAGUGAGGGAAGUGAUGGGAGGUGUGAGGAAGAAUGGAUGCUUCACCUCUUAUUUAUAGGGGGUUGGAGGGUCACUCACGUCAUGAGUUUUAUGAUGCUCACGUCGUGAGCAUCAUAAAACUAAGCAUUCUUUAUAAGUAUCAACAUAUAUAGUUAUAUAUGUUGGCUAAGUAUUGAAUUAAACUUAAUAUUAUAUUUAUAUGAUAGUAUGUUCGUAUCAACAUAUAUAGUUAUAUUAACUCGGAUAUAGUUGUUUUCCCUCAUAUAUACCUAAAGUAUAAGUAUGGGGAAACUUAUACUUAAAAUUAAUACUUUUAUAGCGACAAAGUAUAAUGUUUCUAAAAAUUUGCUACCAUGAGUUUGUAACCACUGCUUGACAACAAAACCUCUAACAAAACACACUCAUUAUUUACCAUGAGAAACAACACACUCAUGAUUUACCAUGAGAAACAAUACCGCGUACUUCAUCGACGUCGGAAAAAUAACAAAUAAAAGGUACGGGUCAUCACUCACUUGUCUUGGGUUGUAAUUAACAACCACGUGUGGGGUCGUCAACCCGUAUCUUAUUCAUACACGACUUCCUCACUCACACGGGAUUAACAGUUACAGGUCAGAGGACUUCCACUAAGAUCCCCAAUCUUAGUUGAUGAAUGAGGUAGCUCAUGUAGACUUUGGCGGUGUUCUAUAGUCCUAACAACAAAAGAAUUUUCAUUUCUAAAACCCUAAGUUAUUAUACUAUGCUUUUAAACAUUACUCCUAACUUCAUAACAUUUACGUAGUAUAACAGCUAUAACUUGAGGUAAAACCAGGUUUUAUAUUGACAUAAAACUACCAAUAAUAACACAUAACAUACCAGGUUUUAUCUUGACAUAAAACCAACAACAAUAACAUACUUAGAAAUCAAUAUAUAUCACUCUCGAGUAUAGCAUCGAGACUAUUACCAACUGUGACAACCCCAUUUUCAUGGCCAGAAAAUUUUGGUUUAAUUUAUGCUUUUAAAAUAAUUUCAGAGUAAUCCUUUGACUAAAUGAGUUGCGGAAGUUGUUCCCAAAACGAAAUAUGACAAAAUAAGAUUUACCAAAGCAUUUCUUAAUGAAAUGUAUUUUCAUUAUAUAACAAAACUCGGGAUGUCAUGUUUUGAUACAGACCAAAAGCAUAAACGGCACAUUAUAAGCCUUACAACAGUUAUAUACACUACAAGCCUAAAACUAAAAUAUCUUGAUAAGUCAUUCAACUUAUGCUCUUGCGCCACUACCUGUAAUACAAAGAAAACUGAGUGGGUCAGGCUUGGGAGCCUGGGGAGCAUAUAGGGUUUCAACCAACAAUAAAAAAAAUAAUAAUUUCAUCAAACAAAAAUAACCCGAUUAACCAUUCCCGUUAUCCUCACUUUACGUCCCUAAAAACAACUAUCACAAGGGACCUACUCUAAGGAUUUUCAUCGGGGCGACAACACUACUUGGGGGGUUUCCCAAUAAUUUAUGUCAAAUAAGGAAACCAUGUGGGGUAUGGAGUAUAGCAAAUGAACACCCAAUAUCAUUAGCACCUACAGGUUGCGAGCCUGCCAGCGUUCCACAGGACUAUCUAGAAAAGUAUGUGGUCGUCAUCCAUACUUUGCUAGAUGACUGGAUCAAAAUAAGAUCCAUGCCUCUCAUCAUUUCAUUUCAUCACACAUCAACUAUCUACCCAUAUUUUACCCAACAUAUUUGUAGAUAAAAAUACAUAUACAGUUUAAUUUAUUUAAAAAAAUUGUAUAAAUCAUUCAUUCAUCAUCCAUCUCAAAUAAAUAAACAAUAUAUAAUCACAUAGCAUGUGUUUUAUAUAAAAUACUUCAUAUCUAUGUGUAAGAUGAAAGUGAGUAUACACUCACCUGAUUUAAUGAUAAUCGGGCAACACCUCAUUUCCUAAAAUGAUCGUUUUCGAUGAAACCGGGAGGCUUUUUAAUGAAAAACCGACCUUACACGGGCAGAGUUUCGGCUUGUAAAUAUAAUUUUCUCAGGAACUUCGGAGCUUUGGGACUUGCUUCAGGUCUCGGGGAUGAUACCGGGACUUCGGGGGUAUUUCUCGCAGAGUAGAAGAGAGAAAAGGGGUGAAAGAUGAGUAAUGUAGCAACCAAAACUGGCUACCCCUUGGUUCUUCUUUAUAGGGUAAAAAUUUGUGGUUCUUCUCGUGAACCAAGUAUGUUCACCUCGUGAAUUCGAUCCUGAUCAUCUCCUAGGCUUCCCGUGUAUCUUCUAGGCUCGAAAUGUGUCAUGCAACGAAUUCACCUUGUGAAUUUCAAUGUUCACCUCGUGAAGGUCUCGAAGUUUGUGCCCCGAACUUCGAAAAUUCAUAACUUUUGCAUACAAAAUCCGUUUUUGACGUUAUUUAUUUCCACGCAUAGGUGAAAUUAUAAUCUACAACUUUCAUUUAGACUCCGUCGGCUAAUUUUAAAUUCAUUUUUAUUGUUAUAUUUUUAACAUGUCGGGAUAGGAAAAGUCUGUUAAAAAUUCAUAACUUCUUCAUUCGACGUCUGUUUUCACCUGUCUUUUUACCGUUGUACUACUAUUGACGAGACCUUUGAUUAUCGUUUAGGUUGUGUCGGCUAAAAAUCCCUCGAUCUAAAAUUCGAGUUUUUAGUUGUUUACUACUAAGCUGAAACUUAGAAAAAUCAUAACUUCCUCAUAUGAAGUGAGAUUUGGGCGUUCUUUUUAUGCAUACACUCAGUUUAACGAACACUACAACUUUUAUUUAGAUCACCAAGGAUAAAAAGUAGUUUAUCAAAAAAUCACUUUUUACAUCAUUCGGCGCCUUGCCGGUUUUAUUGCAAAACUUUGACAGAUCAUAAUUUCUUCAUUAUAACUCGGAUUUUGGUAUUCUUUAUAUCUCCGGAAUCCUUGUUUCAGCCACUAAAACUUUCUGAAUAGAUAUCAACUUUAUCUAAUAUUUAUUUUUGACGCUUAUUUUUAUUCUUAAUUCAUUAAUCAUAAUAAUUAAGCAGAUAAGCACAUAAUUCACAUAAUAUUCACAUAAUACCUCUUUAUUAUUUCAAAAUGAGUUACAAAGGUUAACCUAUACUAUUAUGUAAAUAUUAAUGCUUAGUCUAGAAACACGGGCGUUACAACUCUCUCCCCCUUAGAAUAAUUUCAUCCCCGAAAUCACACAUAAGCAAACAAAUGUGGGUAGCAACUCAUCAUGUCACUCUCUGUUUCCCAUGUGAGAUUUGGCCCAUGUUGCCAACGCACAAGCACUAAAUCGACCAUCUUGCGUUGCAACUUUAUAGUCUUACGGUCAAUGAUUGCCUCUGGUUCUUCAAUUAACCUCUUAUUUUCAUCAAUUCUUAAUUCAAAUACUAGAAUUAUGUCAGGUAUAUCUCCCAUCAAGUUCCUCAAAUAACACACAUGGAAGGUGUUAUGAAUACCAUCUAGUUCUUCUAGUAAUUCUACCUUGUAAGCUUGAUUCCCAAUCCUCUGAAGAACUUUAAACGGUCCAAUAAACGUUGGACUUAACUUUUCCAUUUUUCCAAAUCAUACAAGUCCUUUCCAAGGAGAGACUUUAAGCAAAACCGAAUUCCAACUUCAAAAGUUAUCGGUCAUCUUUUCUUGUCAGCAUAACUCUUUUGAUGAUCCUGAGCUGCGCACAUUCUCUCCCUAAUAACUUUUAACUUUUCAGUAGUCUAAUGGGUUAUCUCAAGUCCCACAAAUUGCUUUUCCCUAGCCUCAAGCGAACAUGACGGCGUACCACACUUCUCUCCUUACAAAGCUUGAUAAGGUGCAAUCUUACUGCUCAAGUGGAAACUUUUAUUGUAGGAAAAUUCGACCAAAGGUAAAUGCUCAUCCCGGUUACCUUGGAUUUCCAAGGUACAUGCUCUCAGCAUAUCUUCAAGUGUUAGUAUCGUUCGUUCGCUCUGGACCAUCAGUCUGUGGAUGGUAAGCUAUGAAGUGUGCACUAUUAGUGAAGCGAUCCACGACCAGCCAAAUCAUGUUGUGACUGUUCUUUACUUUGGGAAGUUUAGUGACAAAAUCCAUAUUGAUUUCUUCCCAUUUACCCAUGGGUACAGGUAAAGGUUCUAAACUCCCAUAUGGUUUCUGAUGUUGUGCCUUCACUUUUGCACAUGUCACACACUCGGCCACAUAGUUUGCAACAUCAAACUUCAUCGUUGGCCACCGGUAAUAGGGUUUUAGGUCCCUAUACAUUUUACUACUGCCUGGAUGAAUUGAAUACAUGGUUUUGUGAGCUUCUUCGAUUAGAAGAUCUCUUAAUCCUACUGUCUUAGGUACCCAAAUCGAAUCUUGGAAUACAUUCAGUCCAUGACUGUUUAUACCGAACACUAACGUUUUGCCCAAACGUUCUUCCUUUCGGUGAUUCUUCUCUGAAGCUUCUUUUUGGGAUUUUUUUUAUACUUUCCACAAUUGUCGAGACAACUUCUAUUCUCAACGCCCUUGGCCUUUUUCUUUCGAGAUUGACUUUCCGACUACGAGCAUCAGCAACAACAUUGGCUUUACCGGGGUGGUAAAGUAUCUCAUAGUAGUAGUCCUUGAGUAACUCUAGCCAACGUCUUUGCCUCAUAUUCAAUUAUUUAUGAUUAAAGAGAUAUUGGAGACUCUUAUGAUCAGUGAAAAUUUUUCACUUCGUGCCAUAGAGGUAAUUCCUCCAUAUUUUUAGCGCAAAUACUACCGCUGCCAACUCCAGAUCAUGAGUGGGGUAGUUCUUUUCAUGCUCUUUCAAUUGUCGAGAUGCAUACGCUAUCACCUUUCUAUCUAGGUCAAAAGACAACCCAACCCAACGCUAGACGCAUAGUUAUAGACAAUGAAGUCUUUAACUCCAUCGAGUAGGGAAGAAUCGGUGUUUCACAUAAUUUAUUCUUUAGUAACUCGAAUGCUACUUUGAGCUUAUCAUUUCAAGUAUGAAUAGCUCCUUUGUGGGUCACAGAUGUUAAUGGAGUAGCGAUCAAAGAAAAGCAUUGGAUAAACCUUCGGAAAUAUCCAGCUAAUCCUAGAAAGCUUCGGAUCUUCAUGGGACUUUUUGGUUGCUCCCACUUCAUCACAGUUUCAUUCUUUGAUGGAUCAACCAUUAUCCUUUCUCGGUUGACCAUGUGACCCAAGAAUUGGACUUCUUGAAUCCAAAAAUCACAUUUGGAGAACUUUGCAUAUAGCUUCUCCUUCUAUAAGACUUAUAACACUUCUCACAAGUGUUUGGCACUAUCCUCUUGGCUUUUCGAGUAAAUCAGAAUGUCAUCUAUGAACACUAUCGGAUUUAUCGAGGAAUGGUUUACAAACCCUAUUCAUCAAAUCCAUGAAUGCUGCUGGAGCAUUGGUUAGUCCAAAUAACAUAAAUAAAAAAUCAUAGUGCCCAUAUCGUGUUCUGAAUCUAGUCUUCUCAAUAUCCUACUCUCUUACGUUUAGCUGAUGAUAUCCUGACCUAAGAUUGAUCUUCGAGAAAUAGCUCAAACCUUGCAACUGAUUGAACAGGUCAUCAAUCCUUGGCAACGGGUACUUGUUCUUUAUUGUAGCCUUAUUCAGCUCUCUGUAAUUGAUGCACAUUCUCUUGCUUCCAUCUUUCUUCUUUAAGAAUAACACCGGAGCUCCCCAGGGUGAUGAACUAGGUCAAAUAAAACAUUUGUCCAAUAAUUGCUAAAGUUGUGUCAUAAGCUCUUUCAUCUCUGUUGGUGCUAAUCGAUACAGUGCUUUUGCUAUCGGCGUCAUUCCUGGUAACAAGUCGAUACAGAAUUCUGCUAGUCGGUUAGGGGGUAAUCAAGUAAGAUCUUCAGGAAAGACUUUUGGGUAAUCACACACCACUGGUAUACUCUGCACCUCCUUUUUCUCCUUUUUUUCAUCGAUCACGAAUGCAAGAUAUGAUAUACAUCCCUUGGCCAAACACUUUCUGGCAUUCAUUAGGAAAAUUAUUCCGGAGUUCACUCUGCAUUUUUCUCCAUACACCAAAAACGACUCUUUCCCUGGCGGUUUUACUUUUACUAUGUUCUUCCAGCACAAUAUUUCAGCAUCAUUGGCGCUAAGCCAAUCCAUUCCUAGAACGAUGUUGAAACCAUUCAACUCGAUAGGAAAUAAUUCCUCAUGGAACUUAUUCCCAUUCAAGUCAAUGAAGAUGUUAUUCAUGCGAUGGCUAACUGGUAUAAACUUGCCACUAGCAACCUCGAUUAUUAAAGCAUUAACUAGUCUAUCAAUAGGCAAAGCUAGUUUUCUACCAAAUUCAUGCGAAAUAAAGGAGUAAUUGGAUCCAAAAUUAAACAAAAUUUGGGCAAGAAAUUUGUUUAUGAGAAAGGUACCUGAAGCGACAUCAACUUCAUCUUUCAUAGCUUCAAAUGUUAUAUGAAAGGCUCUCCCCUUCGGCUUUGGUGGAAUGUUGGGUUUUGAUGCGUCCUUCUUUUUCGGACUGUCUUUCAAAACGUGCCCUUCCUCGUUACAUCCAAAGCAUACCAUCUUGUUGGAGGGACAUUCAUUGGCAUAAUGCCCAUCCUUUCCACAUUUGUAGCAAGUCACCUACUCACAACAUUUCCCAAAGUGCUUUUUCUUGCCACGUGGCAUCGCACAUAGGGUGGAAAUCAUCCGAUUUUCAAAAAUUCAUAAAUUUCGCAUACGAGCUCCGUUUUUGAUGUUCUUUGUAUCCACGUGUAGGUAAAAAUAAAAUCUACAACUUUCAUUUUGACUCUUUUGGCUAAUUCUUGACUGAUCUUAAAUUUAACAGUACGACGAGAUUAUAUUGUUAAAUGUCCGCGUAAAAUUCAUAACUUCUACAUACGGACUCCGUUUUCAUCUGUCCUUUUAUUGUUGAGUUCCUAUUAAUGAUAUCUUCAACUCUCAUUUAGGUCGCGUAGGCCAAAAACCGCUCGAUCUAAAAUUCGAGUUUCGGGUCGUGCACUGCUAAGCCAAAUUUAGAAAAUUCAUAACUUCCUCAUACGAAGUCAGAUUUCGGUGUUCAUUUAAUGGAAACUCUAGGUUUAAAAUAUUCUACGAAUUUCAUUUAGAUUAGUAAGGCCAAAAUGUCCUCUAUCGUAAAUUCACUAUUUACGUCUCCUGGUGUCGUGCUGGUUUUGCCGUAAAACUUCGACAGGCCAUAACUUCUUCGUUAUAACUCGGAUUUCGGCAUUCUUUAUAUGUACGGAACCCUUGUAACGUAUACUAAAACUUGGUUAAGAUUAAUCCUUCUAAAUAAUAUUCCAUCAAAAACUCAUUUUUGAUGCUUAUUGUCUCUAAAUUGACUAGCCCGAAUCUGCAGGCAUUACAGUAAUGAGUUGUACGAUUGGUAGUGGUAGUUUCCUGUAUUUAUGUGCCUACUUGAUCUAUUGUUUGUUUAUAUGUUGACAUAUUGUGGCAGUUGAAGUUGAGGCGGCCCUACUGUGUGUUGUAGGCCAAGACACCAGGUGCAGGUCGGCUAUAAGCCAUAGGCACAUAGGCUCAGGAAGAAAGGAUGAGUUGAGGUGACAGGCCAACAGAAUCAGGGUAAUCCAGUUUGAUGAUUGUGGAUCCAAUAUACUGUUGGAUUAUGAGCAUUCUAACACUCCUAAGUGUACAUGCAACCCUAAAUACCUUGGAUCUAUGUUUUCUCUAUUAUACAUGCAAAUAAGAACAUCCAAGGUAUUAUCCUAAUCUAGCAUACAAAACUAUCAAUAUAACAAGAUAGAAUACAUACCUCUUUGAUGUAGAAUGUCUUCAUGAAGCUUGAGUGCCUAGUGCCCCAAGUGUGACACCUCAAAUGGUUCACACAACACCAAAUACACUUGGAAUAACUUGAGAGAAUUCUACACUUCAUGAAAUCGGCUAGCCCUCUCUAGAAUCAUACUAGUGUCGAUUUUGUCAUGAAUAAUAUCUUUAUAUAGUGUUACAAUUAGGGCAAACCCCAAUUGUCAUGACUUUCCAUUUCCUUGGAUCCAUGGGUUCAAAUACACCAUGGAGCAUCCAUGGACCAUCCUAUGGGUUUUAGCCCAACUUGAUUAUCCAUGGAGCAUUAGCCCACUAUACAAGUAUGGAUGAUUUACACAAUCAACCCAUAUAUUUAAUUAGUCUUCUUUUGAUCACUUAAUUAAUCCUAGAUUAAUUCUUGAUCAAUACUAAUUAAAUAAUCUUAUUAUUCUUAUUAUUAAUAUACUAGAACUUAUAAUAUAUUAAUAACCAUAAGUGUCUUAUUUCUCUCAUUAUAGUCUAUCCAAGUGCAUGAUGCCAUGCAACCCAAAUGGACCAUGCCGGGUCGGGUCAAGUCUUACCAAUUAUAGUUAUGGACUUAGACAUUAAUCCAACAGUCUCCCACUUGGAUAAGUCUAAAACUAUUAUUGCGUAUGACUUCAGGAACCAACUGGCAAUCGUAGCUCUCAAAAGCUUCUGUCGAACUCUGACCUUGUAGAUGAACUCUGACCUUUGUCAAUGACUUGUCCAUUAGAUAAGGGAUCAUAUAUUCCUCCAUUCUAGAUAUCAUAUGGACUGAGACAUGGAUUAUAAUCAUUCUCUCUGUCCAUUUGUUGUUUCCCGAUUUCCGAUUUAUGACGACUGACUAAUUGAACAAAUCAAAUCAGUCCUGGCCCGGCCGAGCACUUCCAUUUGUCAUCAUCAAAUCAUCGAGGGGCCCACAGAUAUCGCUUUUAUCCCGAAGGUAAAAGGAAUGGAUAAACUUCGACUCAUAUGGCUUGUUCUACUACUUGUUGAAUCAUACACAAAGGCACGUUUUAUAGCACCGAGUUACCAAAUGCGUUUUCGUGCAAUCAAUGUACUAUCAACUCAUAGUAACAACUCAUAUCUCUAGGUUUGAAGAAUAUAAGAUAUUAUCGUCUCAUGAUCACUCGUGAUAAAAUCCAUGAAGUGAUUCCAAUGAGCGCGGGUUGAAUCCAAUACUCAGAACUUAUGAGCACUCAUGAGUGUUGUAGCCCUUUGUCCAACACCUUAGACCUCUACAAGCCAACCCAUGACAGUCUUAAUUCAUAUCUACUUCCAACAUAUGACCGACUGUGGAUGGUUUGAAUAACUUAGUCAUUCCGGAAGAAUAACCUAGUUUAUUCGGGAAGUCAAAACAUGCAAAGUGAAACACAAUAAUAAUUGAAUCCAAUAUGGUAUCAAAACUUAUGAACAUAAAUAAAACACCUUUUAUUUAUCACCAUAUGAUUACACAUUAUUCAUUGUAUACUGUUUCAGCUAUCAACUUUAUUCUUGAAUUUAAAACAAUAGUUGUCCCAUGCUCCAAGCAUGUACACUAUGUUUUCUUAAACACUAGUCAUGCCACACACCAAGUAUGCAUACUAUGUUUGUCUAUGAUCUUUACUUUGUGAACUAGAUCAAUUGAACAUAACUUCAAUGAUUCUCUUUUCACACUCCCAAAUCCUUACUGCAAAUGCAAGAAUUCCAAAUUCAUGCCAUUUACUGAAAUCUGUUAGAUUCUAAACUUAUAUGCAUUGAUCCUCUUGUAAUGAUUAUGCACAAAGUCAGAAAGACUUGACAACAAUCAUUACAGAGUAUUCCAAAGGAGAUCAGCUCCUUGGAAACAUCCUUCUUGCAUUAAGUUUCCUAAUCUUAAACAGAUUGAAAAUUCUAACUUUGAAACAUUUCCAGAUUCCAUUUUGACUAUCACUUCUGAACAAGAGUUGCCUCCUUACAGAUUAUGUCAAUAUGGUCCUUCCAGAAUUAUCACUAUACUUCCAACUGUCCUUGAGCAACCAAUCUUUGGUAAACCUUAGAUUGUCCUCGACAAUUGUUUAAUCCUUUUAGUCAUAUCCAGUUCUAAACCUUUUCCCUUCUUAAUGCCCCAGGCAUUUGGAAAAUUUUAGAACGGAUGAAUAUAGCACAUGUAAUCGAUCCUAUAUCCGAAGCAUAUGGGACACGAUUCAUGAUGUCUCACAUAAAGACUAAACCAGUCUUUUGCUAUAACAUUUCCAUUUCAAUUUGCCAAGUUCUCAUAAUUCAGAUUAUGAAAAGGGAUGCCGUAAUCAUAAUCGAAUUUUAGAACGCAAAUAAUGGACCCAUAUACAGAAUUUCCUUAUGUUGAGCCAUUCCAACAUGAAAUUCAUAUAUAUCCUUGACUAAAUGAUUAAAACCUCACGAUCUAAGCUUAUAGAUUUGAGAUGAAGUAUAAUUUCCUCUCCCUUAAUUAUAGCAAAACAACUUUUUCCAAAUUGAAACUUUUGUUUUCUAUAAUUAACAUUGCUAACUUGCAAUACUUAUCAUAAUUAUCAUGCUCCCACUAACAUGAUGAUUAUUAGCAUAACACUUAUGCUCCCACUAGCUUUGACAUGUACUCAGAAAUCAGCUGGACUUCUAGAAAUCAAUACUUCAUUGACUUUCUUACCAAAGUUCAGAUUUCUGAUGCUAGAUUGUUUUGAUAAAACUUUAUCAAAAUCAUACACCUUCCCUUAGAUAGCACACUUGUGUGUCUAAACAAUUAUGAAGAGGUAUGCCGUAAUCAUAAUGGUUAGACCUUUUUGCCACUUCUCACAAGUCCAGGUUAGUGUGCCGGUAAACCACACACGCUCCACUAACGACUUUGAGAAUGCAAAUAUCACAAUUGCUAUCUAGCUAAAAUCUACUUAGUGAAAGUGUUUCCUCACCAUCAUUUUCAUGAAUCGGAGAGAAACCUUAUGACACUUAGAUUUAAUGGUGUAUGUGUUCUUAUCCAUGUGAAUUGUCAAAACCAUAGUCACAAGACAAGGAUAAUGACAAAUCCAAACUCAUAUGGACUGAACUCAAUCUUAAUUUCUUGCCACCUGGCAGCUCAAGGGCCUGCCAUUGCUUCCAAGUUGUUGUGCAACAAAUUGAGAACUCUAAGAACUCAUAUGCAAAGCCAACUUUAACUGGAAUGGGCACAGAAUAUGUCAACACGAUAGGUUAUGAACCUCAAGUCGUGUGCUAGUGAAGAACUUCAGGUUUUAUUCUUGAUUAGUUCUUGAGACUUUCAAGACCUUUAAGACUCCCACUGUCCUCUUGACAUAUAAGACUCCCUUGUCAAACAUCCAAGAGAUAGUGCGGAUUCUAAUCAAGAAAAACACUUUACCCAAUUGGCCUAAGUUGGUCUUUGUUUUAUCCAAAACAUCACAACUUACCAAUUUCAAAUGUACAAGAGUAGAAAACUUUUACUCUUACAUUUGACAAGUGUUUUAAACCUUCUUUAAGACAUGUCACUCAAAUGACAAUCUUGGAGUAUGACUCUAAGACUUGUAUUGGAACGAAGUAUGACUCAUCUUCUUGAUUUAACCAUUUCAACAAUUCAAGUUCCUCUUCUUAGUCAUAAGAAUGCACUAAGAUUUCCUUAGAGAACUAAUUUUGAUAUGGUUUCUUAAUCAUUAAGAUGAUCACAAAACUGAUACUAAAGUACUCUCCCAUCUUUUCAGAUUUGAGAAACUUUUAUCCUUCUGCCUAAUUUGAUUCUUCUUAUUCGCCCUGCCAUACAUUGGAACCUUUUCCAAUGUCUCAGAGUUACACUUAAGCUUGUAAGUAUAAUCAUAUUUACUGAGCUUUAGUAAACUAUGACGAAUAGUCUUAUCAAUCUUUUGUGGUGGACUUAAUCAGUGCACAAGAAUGUGUACUCGAUCCCUUAGUCCUUUACUUGACUCACACAUCCAUGUGGCCGAGUAAUUAGUCUUAAUUUUCCAAAACUUGAAAGUUCUCAUUCAUCAUGCUAUACAACUUGCAUGAUUCCAAGUUCCGGUCCAAUUGAAACUUGGGUGAUGAGAAUCUUUCCUUAUUUGGUAAAUCUAGACAUUACCACAAAUGAAAGAAUCAAUUUCAUAUUUCCACUCUUGCUCUUAAUGGAAUCAUAUAAGCAACAAUUUUUCCUCAAAAGCCAUUGUAAGGAUAUUUUAAAAUAAAUAAAAUCAAAAAAUUUUUCUUUUAUUUUAAAACUUUGCGGAAAAACUUAUCCUUACAAUCCAUAUGAAAACUUGUUGUUAUCUAUUCCUAAGCAAUAUCUCAUAACUCCUAAGAAGUUGCUCAAGAAUCCGAUCUUCAAACUAUGCGAUAGAAAUCCAUCUACGCCAUCAGAUUCAGCAUAUUCUUUCUUUAAGUUUCUUCACUUUUCUUUGAUUCUUAAAACAUCACCAUGUGACCCAGUCACAUCAUGUAUCAGGAAUCUCAGAAUAGAAACUUAACAGAGUUAGAUAGUGGACUUUACCUGAAGUAGAGUCAAACUUAUUGACUUUAACAUCCUUAGGUAAAUUUGGCAGCUUCGCAACUAAUGACCCUUCCUUUGGCAAUAUAAACAUAUGGACCCUUUGAUAAUGGUACACGGGACUAUUACAGACUUAGCCUUUUCUCUUUACCAUUUGGUCAACCUAGUUGACUAUGGUCAAUCCCUUUCCUUAGGAAGAGAAUGCUUUUUCUGUAUUUCCAGUGUCACCAUUGUCAAUGUCCAUAAAUUUUCAGGAAGUUGAUCUUAGCAAAUAGAUAAGAUCAUUAAGGGUCUUGUCAUAGUAUGUUUCAUAGGUGUUCCAAAAGAACUCACUAUGUGAAUGAGAAAGUAGUUGAACCACCAACUUCCUCAAGACUUUGACACCCUUCUCUCCCGGCUUGUCAAUAUGUGACUACAUCUCCAAGAUGUGACCACACCUAGACCUUCACUUGCCAAUAGGGUUCGAGUGACCUUAAACUUUUAAGAACUUGUGGAUUAGGGAGAGUAAUUGGAGGAGGUGAAAGAAGUAUGAUUUCCAAGGGACAUCAUCUUCAUUAGGAAAGCUUGUUUCAAUAGAUUUGGGAAGAUCAUAAAUGUCUAAACCAUACAUCUUUUUGGUGAUAUUCAAGAUAGUUGAUCUUAAGUCCUUAAUAUGACACCCAAUAUGAAAUAUUAAGGCUAGGACCCAACAAACUAUUUUAUAACUUAGAAGAGGUAUGCCGUAAUCCAAGCUAUAAAAUAUUUGAAGGUAGGUGAAUGACGAUUCACCAAUUUCCACCAAGAUAAACGAAAUGUAUUAUUAGGUUUUAAUUGGUUUUGAAACUCCUAGAUCUUUGAGAUUCAUUGAACUGUUCAAAGGCAUGUUUCAAUCUCGAGUGUGCCCUUCAGGUUUUGUGACUGGGAUGCCGAGGAUCACAAAACAAGGUGUGAAGUAACCAUGCAAAUUACUUGGUACCCUUAAGUGUUUACCCCUUAAUCAAUGUGCCGGUUAACCACACACGCUCCAUCGAUACUAUGAUAAACAUUAAGUUACCCUUUGCCUACCUUGUUAAAUACGAGUUAGUGUGCCGGUUAACCACACACGCUCCACUAACCGACUUAAACAAAGUGCAAAGUGUAAUUUCAUGGAUUAGCACCUUAUUCACAUUUUCCUAAGUAACUAAGAUUGGGUAUUAAUAAGAGUUUAG
rnacentral:lncRNA from 1 species